rnacentral:rRNA from 1 species
UACAGAGGGUGCGAGCGUUAAUCGGAAUUACUGGGCGUAAAGCGCGCGUAAGCGGCUUUGCAAGCCGGAUGUGAAAUCCCCGGGCUUAACCUGGGAACUGCAUUCGGGACUGCAUGGCUAGAGUAUGGAAGAGGGAAGUGGAAUUUCCGGUGUAGCGGUGAAAUGCGUAGAUAUCGGAAGGAACACCAGUGGCGAAAGCGACUUCCUGGUCCAAUACUGACGUUCAUGUGCGAAAGCGUGGGGAGCAAACAGG